rnacentral:rRNA from 1 species
AGAGUUUGAUCAUGGCUCAGGACGAACGCUGGCGGCGUGCUUAACACAUGCAAGUCGAACGAUGAUGCCCGGCCUUGCCGGGUGGAUUAGUGGCGAACGGGUGAGUAAUACGUGAGUAACCUGCCCUUGACUCUGGGAUAAGCCUGGGAAACCGGGUCUAAUACUGGAUACUACUGUCUGCCGCAUGGUGGGUGGUGGAAAGGGUUUGACUGGUUUUGGAUGGGCUCACGGCCUAUCAGCUUGUUGGUGGGGUAAUGGCUCACCAAGGCGACGACGGGUAGCCGGCCUGAGAGGGUGACCGGCCACACUGGGACUGAGACACGGCCCAGACUCCUACGGGAGGCAGCAGUGGGGAAUAUUGCACAAUGGGCGGAAGCCUGAUGCAGCGACGCCGCGUGAGGGAUGACGGCCUUCGGGUUGUAAACCUCUUUCAGUAGGGAAGAAGCGCAAGUGACGGUACCUGCAGAAGAAGCGCCGGCUAACUACGUGCCAGCAGCCGCGGUAAUACGUAGGGCGCAAGCGUUGUCCGGAAUUAUUGGGCGUAAAGAGCUCGUAGGCGGUUUGUCGCGUCUGCUGUGAAAGUCCGGGGCUCAACCCCGGGUCUGCAGUGGGUACGGGCAGACUAGAGUGCAGUAGGGGAGACUGGAAUUCCUGGUGUAGCGGUGAAAUGCGCAGAUAUCAGGAGGAACACCGAUGGCGAAGGCAGGUCUCUGGGCUGUUACUGACGCUGAGGAGCGAAAGCAUGGGGAGCGAACAGGAUUAGAUACCCUGGUAGUCCAUGCCGUAAACGUUGGGCACUAGGUGUGGGGGACAUUCCACGUUUUCCGCGCCGUAGCUAACGCAUUAAGUGCCCCGCCUGGGG